UGGACAGAUUAUUGUAUUCGACUGUAUCCAACUGUAUUCACGGUGUGAAACGGGGGAUUACACUAUUUUUAAACGGAAAGUGAAUCAAUUAACAUAAUAGACUCCU
rfam:Nicotiana attenuata strain TT chromosome 11, whole genome shotgun sequence.